rnacentral:rRNA from 1 species
CCUACGGGUGACAGCAGUGAGGAAUAUUCGUCAAUGGGCGGGAGCCUGACCGAGCCAAGCCGCGUGAGGGAAGAAGGUACAGCGUAUCGUAAACCUCUUUUGUCAGGGAACAAAGGCGGGGACUAGUCUCAGGAUGAGGGUACCUGAAGAAACAGCAUCGGCUAACUCCGUGCCAGCAGCCGCGGUAAUACGGAGGAUGCGAGCGUUGUCCGGAUUUAUUGGGUUAAGAGGGUGAGCAGGCGGCCUGUUAAGUCAGCGGUAAAAUCCCGGGGCUCAACGCCGGCGAGCCGUUGAAACUGGCGGGCUGGAGUUGGAGAGAGGUACGCGGAAUGCGCUGUGUAGCGGUGAAAUGCUUAGAUAUCGCGCAGAACCCCGAUUGCGAAGGCAGCGUACCGGCUCCACACUGACGCUGAGGCACGAAAGCGUGGGUAGCGAACAGGAUUAGAUACCCCGGUAGUC